rnacentral:rRNA from 1 species
AUUGAACGCUGGCGGUAUGCCUAACACAUGCAAGUCGAGCGGAGCGGCGGACGGGUGAGUAAUGCCUACGAAUCUGCCUUGUCGUGGGGGAUGGCGUCCGGAAACGGGCGCUAAUACCGCAUACUAUCAGAUGAGCCUAGGUCGGAUUAGCUAGUUGGUGGGGUAAAGGCCUACCAAGGCGACGAUCCGUAACUGGUCUGAGAGGAUGAUCAGUCACACUGGAACUGAGACACGGUCCAGACUCCUACGGGAGGCAGCAGUGGGGAAUAUUGGACAAUGGGCGAAAGCCUGAUCCAGCCAUGCCGCGUGUGUGAAGAAGGUCUUCGGAUUGUAAAGCACUUUAAGUUGGGAGGCGUUACCAACAGAAUAAGCACCGGCUAACUUCGUGCCAGCAGCCGCGGUAAUAC